CCUUUUCAGGAUGAGCAGCACGGGCCUGCCUGUAGGGCCCCACUCCUGGCUCAUUCCGAAGGUGGGAAGAUGCGGGAGAGGUAUGUCCAGCUGACUUACUUGAGAUAGGCGUUGUUCUCAGAUGACCUUCAUUGUCAUGAGGGAAAUAGUUGACUGCUUUUCCCAGAAAUCUGAGUCCACUGGGACACCACCAUCCUGCCUCAAACCCUCAAGUAGUCCUGUUACCCGAAGGACAGAGUCCCUGGGGGCUGAAGGAGACAUGGGGCCACAUCCCACAAAGCCAUCUGGGCCUCCUUCCCACUGUGCUCUGGAAGAUGCUCGCCCACCUCCUCCCAUGCCGGGAUCACAUGGCCUGACCUGGAGUCUGUGAGCAAGGCUGUACUAUCUGUUCUCCUCCAUUUGAUACUCACUCAUCUUCUAAGCCCAGCGGAAGUCCCGGAUACGUGUCAGCUCCGCUGGCUGCCUUCUGUGCUCCAGGUGAAGUUGCUGCCGUUUCUGCUCCUUGUGCAGUCUAUCUGCCCUUGCCUCUAUUUACCCUCUGUGCCUGACACACACCAGAGAAUCCUUUUGUAC
rnacentral:lncRNA from 1 species